rnacentral:tRNA from 1 species
AUUUAUCUAAUAUAAAAAGUAUACUUGACUUCCAAUCAAGAGGUUUGUAAAAGCAAGAUAAAUA